AACGUAGGUGGCAAGCGUUAUCCGGAAUUACUGGGCGUAAAGGGUGUGCAGGCGGGGAAGCCAGUUGGGGGUGAAAUAUCCCAGCUUAACUGGGAGGGGUUAUGCCAGACUGCUUUUCUAGAGGACGAGAGAGGGGGGUGGAAUUCCGGGUGUAGUGGUGAAAUGCGUAGAGAUCCGGAGGAACCCCAGAGGCGAAGGCGGCCCCCUGGCUCGUACCUGACGCUCAGCCACGAAAGCAUGGGGAGCGAACGGG
rnacentral:rRNA from 1 species